GCUCCCUGGAGUCAGCAGCACUUCGGCUCUACUUUUGCAUGGUUAAGAAGUAAACAUACUUCAGAACGGAUUGAUGGUGCGUUCACAGACACAGCUCGACUUGAAAUGAGAAGACGACCAAAAGAGACGAACAAAUCAGGAUGCACUGGUUGUAUUUCCCCAUUUUAUCUCUGCUUGUUUGCGUUCAAAGCUGGAUAUUAGGUAAGUUAAUUUCCUCUUACAAAAUAGCUACAGUGAUGUUCUUCCCAUUUGUCUAGUUACAUUAUGUAUUUUUUAUCACUUUGUUA